rnacentral:rRNA from 1 species
AAAUGAAUAGACGGGCACCCGCACAAGCGGUGGAGCAUGCUGUUUAAUUCGAAGAUACGCGAAGAACCUUACCUAGGCUUGACAUCCCUGGCAAAGCUAUAGAAAUAUAGUGGAGGCUAUCCAGGUGACAGGUGGUGCAUGGUUGUCGUCAGCUCGUGUCGUGAGAUGUUCGGUUAAGUCCGAUAACGAGCGCAACCCUUUUCAUUAGUUGCUAACAUUAAGUUGAGAACUCUAGUGAUACUGCCGGUGACAAACCGGAGGAAGGUGGGGAUGACGUCAAAUCAUCAUGCCCCUUACGUCUAGGGCUACAGGCGUGCUACAAUGGCCGUUACAAAGAGAAGCAAAACCGCGAGGUGGAGCUAAUCUCCAAAAACGGUCUCAGUUCGGAUUGGAGUCUGCAACUCGACUCCAUGAAGUUGGAAUCGCUAGUAAUCCUGAAUCAGAAUGUCAGGGUGAAUACGUUCCCGGGUGUUGUACACACCGCCCGU